GGCGUAAAGGGCGCGCAGGCGGUUUCUUAAGUCUGAUGUGAAAGCCCCCGGCUCAACCGGGGAGGGUCAUUGGAAACUGGGGAACUUGAGUGCGGAAGAGGAUAGUGGAAUUCCACGUGUAGCGGUGAAAUGCGUAGAGAUGUGGAGGAACACCAGUGGCGAAGGCGACUCUCUGGUCUGUAACUGACGCUGAGGAGCGAAAGCGUGGGGAGCGAACAGGAUUAGAUACCCUGGUAGUCCACGCCGUAAACGAUGACUGCUAAGUGUUAGGGGGUUUCCGCCUCUUAUGGCUGCACCUAACGCAUUAAGCACUCCGCCUGGGGAGUACGGUCGCAAGACUGAAACUCAAAGGAUUUGACGGGGGCCCGCACAAGCGGUGGAGCUUGUGGUUUAUUUCAAAGCAACCCGAAGAACCUUACCAGGUCUUGACAUC
rnacentral:rRNA from 1 species